UCGAUAAUGUGGUCGUACCACCGGAACCUC
rnacentral:sRNA from 1 species